UACGUAGGGUCCGAGCGUUGUCCGGAAUUAUUGGGCGUAAAGGGCUCGUAGGCGGUUUGUCGCGUCGGGAGUGAAAACUCAGGGCUCAACCCUGAGCGUGCUUCCGAUACGGGCAGACUAGAGGUAUGCAGGGGGAGAACGGAAUUCCUGGUGUAGCGGUGGAAUGCGCAGAUAUCAGGAGGAACACCGGUGGCGAAGGCGGUUCUCUGGGCCUUACCUGACGCUGAGGAGCGAAAGCGUGGGGAGCGAACAGG
rnacentral:rRNA from 1 species